UUAAGUUCAGCGGGUAUCCCUACCUGAUCCGAGGUCAACCACGAGAGUUUGGGUUCUGGCAGGCCACCGCCGGACACUGGAGCGAGAGAUGUACUACGCUCAGGGCCAGGCGGCACCGCCACUGUCUUUGGGGCCGGCCGCAGCGGGCAGGGCCCAACACAAGCAGAGCUUGAGGGUUGAAAUGACGCUCGAACAGGCAU
rnacentral:misc_RNA from 1 species